CAAAUACUCUCUCCGUUCUAGAAAGUUUGUCUUAGAUUUAUUUCUAUAUAAAUGUAUCUAGUUAAGUUUUAGUAUUUAGAUACAUUCAUUUAUAGACAAAGCUAAGACAAAAAUUUUGGGACGGAGGGAGUACAAC
rfam:Hordeum vulgare subsp. vulgare, WGS project CAJW01000000 data, contig: morex_contig_1587962